rnacentral:rRNA from 1 species
UACGAAGGGAGCUAGCGUUGUUCGGAAUCACUGGGCGUAAAGCGCACGUAGGCGGAUUUGUAAGUCAGGGGUGAAAUCCCGGGGCUCAACCUCGGAACUGCCUUUGAUACUGCAAAUCUCGAGUCCGAUAGAGGUGGGUGGAAUUCCUAGUGUAGAGGUGAAAUUCGUAGAUAUUAGGAAAGAACACCGGUGGCGAAGGGCGGCCCACUGGAUCGGUACUGACGCUGAGGUGCGAAAGCGUGGGAGCAAACAGG